UGUCCAGAGAUGGGAAUCGAACACACAGUGUUCCGCUUACCGGGCAGAUGCCAUGUCCACUAGGCUAUAGGC
rnacentral:tRNA from 1 species